AACGAACGCUGGCGGCAGGCCUAAUACAUGCAAGUCGAACGCACCGCAAGGUGAGUGGCAGACGGGUGAGUAACGCGUGGGAACCUUCCUAGUAGUACGGAAUAACUCCGGGAAACCGGUGCUAAUACCGUAUAAGCCCUCUGGGGGAAGAUUUAUCGCUACUAGAUGGGCCCGCGUCGGAUUAGCUUGUUGGUGAGGUAAUGGCUCACCAAGGCUUCGAUCCGUAGCUGGUCUGAGAGGANGAUCAGCCACACUGGGACUGAGACACGGCCCAGACUCCUACGGGAGGCAGCAGUAGGGAAUAUUGGACAAUGGGCGAAAGCCUGAUCCAGCCAUGCCGCGUGAGUGAAGAAGGCCUUAGGGUUGUAAAGCUCUUUGGCGGGAAGAUAAUGACGGUACCCGCAGAAUAAGCUCCGGCUAACUUCGUGCCAGCCGCCGCAGUAAG
rnacentral:rRNA from 1 species